UACGAGGGGGGCAAGCGUUGUUCGGAAUUAUUGGGCGUAAAGGGUGCGUAGGCGGUGCGGUAAGUCUGUUGUGAAAUCUCCGGGCUCAACUCGGAGUCUGCAUCAGAAACUGCCGUGCUGGAGUGUGGGAGAGGUGAGUGGAAUUCCCGGUGUAGCGGUGAAAUGCGUAGAUAUCAGGAGGAACACCUGUGGCGAAAGCGGCUCACUGGACCACAACUGACGCUGAUGCGCGAAAGCUAGGGGAGCAAACAGG
rnacentral:rRNA from 1 species